rnacentral:rRNA from 1 species
UGCGAGUGGCGGCGUGCCUAUACAUGCAGUCGAGCGGACAGAAGGGAGCUUGCUCCCGGAUGUUAGCGGCGGACGGGUGAGUAACACGUGGGUAACCUGCCUGUAAGACUGGGAUAACUCCGGGAAACCGGAGCUAAUACCGGAUAGUUCCUUGAACCGCAUGGUUCAAGGAUGAAAGACGGUUUCGGCUGUCACUUACAGAUGGACCCGCGGCGCAUUAGCUAGUUGGUGGGGUAAUGGCUCACCAAGGCGACGAUGCGUAGCCGACCUGAGAGGGUGAUCGGCCACACUGGGACUGAGACACGGCCCAGACUCCUACGGGAGGCAGCAGUAGGGAAUCUUCCGCAAUGGACGAAAGUCUGACGGAGCAACGCCGCGUGAGUGAUGAAGGUUUUCGGAUCGUAAAGCUCUGUUGUUAGGGAAGAACAAGUGCGAGAGUAACUGCUCGCACCUUGACGGUACCUAACCAGAAAGCCACGGCUAACUACGUGCCAGCAGCCGCGGUAAUACGUAGGUGGCAAGCGUUGUCCGGAAUUAUUGGGCGUAAAGGGCUCGCAGGCGGUUUCUUAAGUCUGAUGUGAAAGCCCCCGGCUCAACCGGGGAGGGUCAUUGGAAACUGGGAAACUUGAGUGCAGAAGAGGAGAGUGGAAUUCCACGUGUAGCGGUGAAAUGCGUAGAGAUGUGGAGGAACACCAGUGGCGAAGGCGACUCUCUGGUCUGUAACUGACGCUGAGGAGCGAAAGCGUGGGGAGCGAACAGGAUUAGAUACCCUGGUAGUCCACGCCGUAAACGAUGAGUGCUAGUGUUAGGGGGUUUCCGCCCCUUAGUGCUGCAGCUAACGCAUUAAGCACUCCGCCUGGGGAGUACGGUCGCAGACUGAAACUCAAAGGAAUUGACGGGGGCCGCACAAGCGGUGGAGCAUGUGAUUAUCGAGCACGCGAGACUUACCAGUCUUGACAUCCUCUGAAACCUAGAGAUAGGCUUUCCUUCGGGGACAGAGUGACAGGUGGUGCAUGG